AAAGGGAAGUGUGUUUAUGCCUAUGAGGACAGACGUCAGAGACAGCGCAGCCCUGUGGCAGAUGGCCUGUCCUUUCCUCUGCUGCCCAGCGGAGCCCUGCGGCCCAGGGGUUCAGGCAGAGCCCGGGAGGAGGGCCUCUGCAGAUGAAGACCAAGGGAAGAGCUGUGAGGGAGGGGCCCCGGCAGGGCUGGAGGAGGAGCAGGCUGAGGAAAUCACCCACGGGAGCUAAGGGGCCUCUGGACACUCGGCAGGGCCCGGAGCGGUGGAAGAAAAGGCUGAGGGUUCUGACAAAGCCCAGGGCACUGAGACCGCAACUGCUGCCAUCCCAGGCAGGGGCACGGCCCUGCCCCGCCCAGCCUUGGCCAGUCCCGACACCCAGGCCCCUGGAGACAGCGGCUCACUCAAGCAGGUGUCCCGCGCUCCCCCAGCGGAUAGGAGACCAGACCACGAGCGCUGAGGGGAAAGUAGCCUGACUGGCCGGUUACCUGGACAUACGGCGUGGGGACGUGGGAAAGGGAGGAUUCGGGAUGACGGCUGGGCUUUGGGUAGGAGAGGAGAACCCGGAGACCAGGACACAGGUCACCAUGGUGGGCAGCACGUGGUCACAGCCCAGUCCCUGGGCCACAGAGCCAGCCGUCUGCACCCAGGCUGUUGUGGUCCAGUGACUUUAAAGUGGGAGGCAACGUGACAGAGGGUCCCUCGGUUUCCCCAUCCCUAGACUGGCUGGGGCAGUAGUACCUCCCUCAUCGUGUUGGGAGCUUUAAAUGAGAUGAUCUGUGUAAGGUCCAUGGCCCAGUGCCUGGCAUGCGGAGAAUGCUCAAGAAAGGGUACCCAUUGCUGUCGUCUUUAUGGAAACGUCAAGUGCCCACUUUGGCUGUGGCCAGAGGGUUCACAGGAUGGUGAACUCCCUAUAUCUGAUGUGAAAGUGACGACAAGCCGCUGACACCAGGCAAUCCUUCUAACUCAAUGAGACAAACAAGCACUCAACCACUUGAGAAAUUAAACGCAGACUGCCUGGUACGUCUGCAGCCUCAGGAAGCCUGCCUGCUCCUCUGCAAACAGCUACCACACCACCAGCGAACCGGGCACCUGAGAUUCGGGAAGCACUGGCCCUGGGCCACUGUCAACUACGAAAACAAAGGAAAAAUGGGGAGGUUCUGCCUAGAAGCCCUUCGUAAACUACAGAGCCUACAGAGCUGCAGCUUGGUCACUGAGAGUCCAUCUGGGUGUCCAGCCCUCGGGUGUUUCAAGCCCAUGACACUCGGCCUCCCGGCACCAGCCCCUCCUGGCCUCUCUGGCUCGCCUGGGGCUCAGAGUCUCUUCUAGGGCACAGUGUGGUGUGACAGACGUGCUUAGC